GAUUCAUAGAACAUGUAAACAACCUCUGUAAACUGUGAUAGACACUGACCCUAUAUAUAUAUGCUGAUAUAAUAGAUAAUAAUCACUUAUUGUUUUUUUGUAGUAGAAAUGCAACUUAAAACAAGAGUAUACUAGACAUAGGGGAAAAAAAAAUGGACAGCAGAAUGCAAUAGGACAUGAGUUUGUAGUGAAACAAUCAAGCAGAGCCUUUGAGCUUCUUUGCGAUGGUAGCAAUGUGUUUUCCCUGGUGGAAAGCUUGCUCCAGUUCAAGAUCUGUUGGCUGUCUAGAGCCAUCUCCAGCAAAAGUUCCUGCACCGUAAGGACUUCCACCUUUAAUCUUCUCCAUCUCGAACAUGCCAGCACCAAAUGUGUAACCAAUCGGGACAAAGAUCAUUCCAUGGUGAACA
rnacentral:misc_RNA from 1 species